rnacentral:rRNA from 1 species
UACGUAGGGGGCGAGCGUUAUCCGGAUUCACUGGGCGUAAAGGGAGCGCAGGCGGCACGGCAAGUCCGGUGUGAAAGCCCGGGGCCCAACCCCGGGACUGCACUGGAAACUGCCGGGCUGGAGUGCCGGAGGGGUAAGCGGAAUUCCUGGUGUAGCGGUGAAAUGCGCAGAUAUCAGGAGGAACACCGGUGGCGGAGGCGGCUUACUGGACGGCAACUGACGCUGAGGCUCGAAAGCGUGGGGAGCAAACAGG